rnacentral:misc_RNA from 1 species
CAUGGCGGAGGAGGUGGGCACCUGGUAACCCUGGGUGUGUUGCCUUCACGCUUUCUACCCUUGUCUAUUUGCACCUUUUGUCGUUCCCUCGGUGGGUCUUGAACCUGCCGACGGCAACUUUCAAAACCUCUUGCAGUAGUAUCAAAUUCUUCUGAUUCAAAUAUCAAAUCGUUA